rnacentral:rRNA from 1 species
UACGAAGGGUGCAAACGUUGCUCGGAAUCAUUGGGCGUAAAGCGCACGUAGGCGGCUUCGCAAGUCGGAUGUGAAAUCCCUCGGCUCAACCGAGGACGUGCAUCCGAAACUGCGGAGCUUGAGUACUGAAGAGGAUCGCGGAAUUCCCGGUGUAGAGGUGAAAUUCGUAGAUAUCGGGAGGAACACCAGUGGCGAAGGCGGACGAUCUGGGCAGUUACUGACGCUGAGGUGCGAAAGCGUGGGGAGCAAACAGGG